CAGCAGCCGCGGGAAUACGAAGGGGGCUAGCGUUACUCGGAAUUACUGGGCGUAAAGGGCGCGUAGGCGGCACGAUUAGUCAGGCGUGAAAUUCCUGGGCUCAACCUGGGGACUGCGCUUGAUACGGUCGAGCUAGAGGAUGGAAGAGGGUCGUGGAAUUCCCAGUGUAGAGGUGAAAUUCGUAGAUAUUGGGAAGAACACCGGUGGCGAAGGCGGCGACCUGGUCCAUUACUGACGCUGAGACGCGACAGCGUGGGGAGCAAACAGGAUUAGAGACCCCCGUAGUCCCUGUCUCUUAACA
rnacentral:rRNA from 1 species